ACACAUGCAGUCGAGCGGGGAGAGUAGCUUGCUACUUAACCUAGCGGCGGACGGGUGAGUAAUGCUUAGGAAUCUGCCUAUUAGUGGGGGACAACAUCUCGAAAGGGAUGCUAAUACCGCAUACGUCCUACGGGAGAAAGCAGGGGACCUUCGGGCCUUGCGCUAAUAGAUGAGCCUAAGUCGGAUUAGCUAGUUGGUGGGGUAAAGGCCUACCAAGGCGACGAUCUGUAGCGGGUCUGAGAGGAUGAUCCGCCACACUGGGACUGAGACACGGCCCAGACUCCUACGGGAGGCAGCAGUGGGGAAUAUUGGACAAUGGGGGGAACCCUGAUCCAGCCAUGCCGCGUGUGUGAAGAAGGCCUUUUGGUUGUAAAGCACUUUAAGCGAGGAGGAGGCUACCGAGAUUAAUACUCUUGGAUAGUGGACGUUACUCGCAGAAUAAGCACCGGCUAACUCUGUGCCAGCAGCCGCGGUAAUACAGAGGGUGCAAGCGUUAAUCGGAUUUACUGGGCGUAAAGCGCGCGUAGGUGGCCAAUUAAGUCAAAUGUGAAAUCCCCGAGCUUAACUUGGGAAUUGCAUUCGAUACUGGUUGGCUAGAGUAUGGGAGAGGAUGGUAGAAUUCCAGGUGUAGCGGUGAAAUGCGUAGAGAUCUGGAGGAAUACCGAUGGCGAAAGCAGCCAUCUGGCCUAAUACUGACACUGACGUGCGAAAGCAUGGGGAGCAAACAGGAUUAGAUACCCUGGUAGUCCAUGCCGUAAACGAUGUCUACUAGCCGUUGGGGCCUUUGAGGCUUUAGUGGCGCAGCUAACGCGAUAAGUAGACCGCCUGGGGGGAGUACGGUCGCAAGACU
rnacentral:rRNA from 1 species